UGGAAUGGGGUAUAGCCUAUACAUGCAGUCGAGCGGACGAUGAACGCGGAGCUUGCUCCCGGAUGUUAGCGGCGGACGGGUGAGUAACACGUGGGUAACCUGCCUGUAAGACUGGGAUAACUCCGGGAAACCGGAGCUAAUACCGGAUAGUUCCUUGAACCGCAUGGUUCAAGGAUGAAAGACGGUUUCGGCUGUCACUUACAGAUGGACCCGCGGCGCAUUAGCUAGUUGGUGGGGUAAUGGCUCACCAAGGCGACGAUGCGUAGCCGACCUGAGAGGGUGAUCGGCCACACUGGGACUGAGACACGGCCCAGACUCCUACGGGAGGCAGCAGUAGGGAAUCUUCCGCAAUGGACGAAAGUCUGACGGAGCAACGCCGCGUGAGUGAUGAAGGUUUUCGGAUCGUAAAGCUCUGUUGUUAGGGAAGAACAAGUGCGAGAGUAACUGCUCGCACCUUGACGGUACCUAACCAGAAAGCCACGGCUAACUACGUGCCAGCAGCCGCGGUAAUACGUAGGUGGCAAGCGUUGUCCGGAAUUAUUGGGCGUAAAGGGCUCGCAGGCGGUUUCUUAAGUCUGAUGUGAAAGCCCCCGGCUCAACCGGGGAGGGUCAUUGGAAACUGGGAAACUUGAGUGCAGAAGAGGAGAGUGGAAUUCCACGUGUAGCGGUGAAAUGCGUAGAGAUGUGGAGGAACACCAGUGGCGAAGGCGACUCUCUGGUCUGUAACUGACGCUGAGGAGCGAAAGCGUGGGGAGCGAACAGGAUUAGAUACCCUGGUAGUCCACGCCGUAAACGAUGAGUGCUAAGUGUUAGGGGGUUUCCGCCCCUUAGUGCUGCAGCUAACGCAUUAAGCACUCCGCCUGGGGAGUACGGUCGCAAGACUGAAACUCAAAGGAAUUGACGGGGGCCCGCACAAGCGGUGGAGCAUGUGGUUUAAUUCGAAGCAACGCGAAGAACCUUACCAGGUCUUGACAUCCUCUGACAACCCUAGAGAUAGGGCUUUCCCUUCGGGGACAGAGUGACAGGUGGUGCAUGGUUGUCGUCAGCUCGUGUC
rnacentral:rRNA from 1 species